rnacentral:rRNA from 1 species
UACGGAGGGUGCAAGCGUUGUUCGGAUUUAUUGGGCGUAAAGCGCGUGUAGGCGGUUUCUUAAGUCUGAUGUGAAAGCCCUGGGCUCAACCCAGGAAGUGCAUUGGAUACUGGGAGACUUGAAUACGGGAGAGGGUAGUGGAAUUCCUAGUGUAGGAGUGAAAUCCGUAGAUAUUAGGAGGAACACCGGUGGCGAAGGCGGCCCGCUGGGCAGGAAGACCUCGUAAGAGGUCGGCUGACACUGAGGCGCGACAGCGUGGGGAGCAAACAGGG